GUGAGGAAUAUUGGUCAAUGGACGGAAGUCUGAACCAGCCAUGCCGCGUGCAGGAAUAAGGUCCUAUGGAUUGUAAACUGCUUUUAUUCGGGAAUAAACCUCUUUACGUGUAGGGAGCUGAAGGUACCGAAGGAAUAAGCACCGGCUAACUCCGUGCCAGCAGCCGCGGUAAUACGGAGGGUGCAAGCGUUAUCCGGAAUCAUUGGGUUUAAAGGGUCCGCAGGCGGGCUAUCAAGUCAGAGGUGAAAUCCAACAGCUUAACUGUGGAACUGCCUUUGAAACUGAUGGUCUUGAAUUAAGUGGGCGUUGGCGGAAUAUGACAUGUAGCGGUGAAAUGCAUAGAUAUGUCAUGGAACACCGAAAGCGAAGGCAGCUAACGAUACUUAUAUUGACGCUCAUGGACGAAAGCGUGGGUAGCGAACAGGAUUAGAUACCUUGUAGUCC
rnacentral:rRNA from 1 species